ACGUGGGUAACCUGCCUGUAAGACUGGGAUAACUCCGGGAAACCGGGGCUAAUACCGGAUAACACCUACCCCCGCAUGGGGGAAGGUUGAAAGGUGGCUUCGGCUAUCACUUACAGAUGGACCCGCGGCGCAUUAGCUAGUUGGUGAGGUAACGGCUCACCAAGGCGACGAUGCGUAGCCGACCUGAGAGGGUGAUCGGCCACACUGGGACUGAGACACGGCCCAGACUCCUACGGGAGGCAGCAGUAGGGAAUCUUCCGCAAUGGACGAAAGUCUGACGGAGCAACGCCGCGUGAGUGAAGAAGGUUUUCGGAUCGUAAAACUCUGUUGUUAGGGAAGAACAAGUGCCGUUCGAAUAGGGCGGCGCCUUGACGGUACCUAACCAGAAAGCCACGGCUAACUACGUGCCAGCAGCCGCGGUAAUACGUAGGUGGCAAGCGUUGUCCGGAAUUAUUGGGCGUAAAGCGCGCGCAGGUGGUUUCUUAAGUCUGAUGUGAAAGCCCACGGCUCAACCGUGGAGGGUCAUUGGAAACUGGGGAACUUGAGUGCAGAAGAGGAAA
rnacentral:rRNA from 1 species